CUGCCGGGCAGGCUGGUGCAGCCGGGGCGGCUGCCGUUCGUCCCGGCGAUACCGGGGCUGCGGUUCCAGGCGCUGCACACCGCGGAC
rnacentral:tRNA from 1 species